rnacentral:rRNA from 1 species
GGGAUUGCCCUAGUAACGGCGAGUGAAGCGGCAACAGCUCAAAUUUGAAAUCUGGCUCUUUCAGGGUCCGAGUUGUAAUUUGCAGAGGGCGCUUUGGCGUUGGCAGCGGUCCAAGUUCUUUGGAACAGGACGUCACAGAGGGUGAGAAUCCCGUACGUGGUCGCUAGCCUUCGCCGUGUAAAGCCCCUUCGACGAGUCGAGUUGUUUGGGAAUGCAGCUCUAAAUGGGAGGUAAAUUUCUUCUAAAGCUAAAUACUGGCCAGAGACCGAUAGCGCACAAGUAGAGUGAUCGAAAGAUGAAAAGCACUUUGGAAAGAGAGUCAAAUAGCACGUGAAAUUGUUGAAAGGGAAGCGCUUGCAGCCAGACUUGCCUGUAGUUGCUUAUCCGGACUUUUGUCCGGUGCACUCUUCUGCGGGCAGGCCAGCAUCAGUCUAGGCGGUUGGAUAAAGGUCUCUGUCAUGUACCUCUCUUCGGGGAGGCCUUAUAGGGGAGACGACAUGCAACCAGCCUGGACUGAGGUCCGCGCAUCUGCUAGGAUGCUGGCGUAAUGGCUGUAAGCGGCCCGUCUUGAAACACGGACCAAGGAGUCUAACAUCUAUGCGAGUGUUUGGGUGUCAAGCCCAGACGCGUAAUGAAAGUGAACGGAGGUGGGAACCCUUUGGGUGCACCAUCGACCGAUCCUGAUGUCUUCGGAUGGAUUUGAGUAAGAGCAUGGCUGUUGGGACCCGAAAGAUGGUGAACUAUGCUUGAAUAGGGUGAAGCCAGAGGAAACUCUGGUGGAGGCUCGCAGCGGUUCUGACGUGCAAAUCGAUCGUCAAAUUUGGGCAUAGGGGCG